rnacentral:rRNA from 1 species
AGAGUUUGAUCCUGGCUCAGGACGAACGCUGGCGGCGUGCUUAACACAUGCAAGUCGAACGAAGAGCGAUGGAAGCUUGCUUCUAUCAAUCUUAGUGGCGAACGGGUGAGUAACGCGUAAUCAACCUGCCCUUCAGAGGGGGACAACAGUUGGAAACGACUGCUAAUACCGCAUACGAUCCAACCUCGGCAUCGAGGAUGGAUGAAAGGUGGCCUCUAUUUAUAAGCUAUCACUGAAGGAGGGGAUUGCGUCUGAUUAGCUAGUUGGAGGGGUAACGGCCCACCAAGGCAAUGAUCAGUAGCCGGUCUGAGAGGAUGAACGGCCACAUUGGGACUGAGACACGGCCCAGACUCCUACGGGAGGCAGCAGUGGGGAAUCUUCCGCAAUGGACGAAAGUCUGACGGAGCAACGCCGCGUGAGUGAUGACGGCCUUCGGGUUGUAAAGCUCUGUUAAUCGGGACGAAAGGUCCUCUUGCGAAUAGUUAGAGGAAUUGACGGUACCGGAAUAGAAAGCCACGGCUAACUACGUGCCAGCAGCCGCGGUAAUACGUAGGUGGCAAGCGUUGUCCGGAAUUAUUGGGCGUAAAGCGCGCGCAGGCGGAUCAGUUAGUCUGUCUUAAAAGUUCGGGGCUUAACCCCGUGAUGGGAUGGAAACUGCUGAUCUAGAGUAUCGGAGAGGAAAGUGGAAUUCCUAGUGUAGCGGUGAAAUGCGUAGAUAUUAGGAAGAACACCAGUGGCGAAGGCGACUUUCUGGACGAAAACUGACGCUGAGGCGCGAAAGCCAGGGGAGCGAACGGGAUUAGAUACCCCGGUAGUCCUGGCCGUAA